rnacentral:rRNA from 1 species
UAAGGAAUAUUGGACAAUGGGGGAAACCCUGAUCCAGCAACGCCGCGUGGGCGACGAAGGUCUUCGGAUCGUAAAGCCCUUUUCUGGGGGAAGAGAGAGGACGGUACCCCAGGAAUAAGUCUCGGCUAACUACGUGCCAGCAGCCGCGGUAAAACGUAGGAGGCGAGCGUUAUCCGGAUUUACUGGGCGUAAAGCGCGUGCAGGCGGUGGUGCGCGUUGGGCGUGAAAUCUCCCGGCUCAACUGGGAGGCGCCGUCCAAUACGGCAUCACUUGAGGGCAGGAGAGGGAAGUAGAAUUCCCGGUGUAGCGGUAAUAUGCGCAGAUAUCGGGAGGAAUACCAGUGGCGAAGGCGGCUUCCUGGCCUGUUCCUGACGCUAAGACGCGAAAGCUAGGGUAGCGAACGG